rnacentral:rRNA from 1 species
UGGUGGAGUGAUUUGUCUGGUUAAUUCCGUUAACGAACGAGACCUUAACCUGCUAAGUAUGCCGCGCUAACCCGUCCAUCAAAACCCAUGCGUGGCUCACGCGGUCCGCUGCGGGGUGGUGUCGCUUCGCGGCGACGUCAUCCCGCCGGCAGGGCCCGGGUCCGUGUGGGCGGUAGGGUUCGGCGUCCGUGCUUCUUAGAGGGACUGCUGCGCGCCUAGCCAGCGGAAGUUUGAGGCAAUAACA